GUGCUAGCUUUGGCAGCACAUACACUAAAAUUGAAAUAAUACAGGGAAAAUUAGUAUGGCCUCUGUGCAAGGAUGACAUACAAAUUCAUGAAGAGUUACAUAUUUUU